rnacentral:rRNA from 1 species
UUGAACGCUGGCGGCAUGCUUUACCCAUGCAAGUCGAACGGCAGCGCGGGGCAACCUGGCGGCGAGUGGCGAACGGGUGAGUAAUAUAUCGGAACGUACCCAAGAGUGGGGGAUAACGUAGCGAAAGUUACGCUAAUACCGCAUACGAUCUAAGGAUGAAAGUGGGGGAUCGCAAGACCUCAUGCUCCUGGAGCGGCCGAUAUCUGAUUAGCUAGUUGGUGAGGUAAAGGCUCACCAAGGCGACGAUCAGUAGCUGGUCUGAGAGGACGACCAGCCACACUGGAACUGAGACACGGUCCAGACUCCUACGGGAGGCAGCAGUGGGGAAUUUUGGACAAUGGGCGCAAGCCUGAUCCAGCAAUGCCGCGUGAGUGAAGAAGGCCUUCGGGUUGUAAAGCUCUUUUGUCAGGGAAGAAACGGUAGAGGCUAAUAUCCUUUGCUAAUGACGGUACCUGAAGAAUAAGCACCGGCUAACUACGUG